rnacentral:rRNA from 1 species
AUUGAACGCCGGCUGCAUGCCUUACACAUGCAAGUCGCACGGUAACAGGUUAAGCUGACGAGUGGCGAACGGGUGAGUAAUGUAUCGGAACGUGCCCAGUUGUGGGGGAUAACUGCUCGAAAGAGCAGCUAAUACCGCAUACGACCUGAGGGUGAAAGCGGGGGAUCGUAAGACCUCGCGCAAUUGGAGCGGCCGAUACCAGAUGAGGUAGUUGGUGGGAGAAAGGCUCACCAAGCCGACGCUCUGUAGCUGGGCUGAGAGGACGACCAGCCACACUGGGACUGAGACACGGCCCAGACUCCUACGGGAGGCAGCAGUGGGGAAUUUUGGACAAUGGGCGCAAGCCUGGUCCAGCCAUGCCGCGUGCGGGAAGAAGGCCUUCGGGUUGUAAACCGCUUUUGUCAGGGAAGAAACACUCUGGGUUAAUACCCUGGGGUAAUGACGGUACCUGAAGAAUAAGCACCGGCUAACUACGUGCCAGCAGCCGCGGUAAGAC